AUUAAAUGUGCCUUAACAGCCGCUUGUCAGUAAAGUGUAGUGAGCUAUUGAGCUAAUGAAUUGAAAACGCUUUUGUACAGAGAGAGAACAAAGAUCUUUUUACAAGAAAUAAGAGAAUGGAGAAAUGAUCAAAUUAUGAGUAAUUCCGUUUUAACCUGUAAAAGUCAAGUAUUUGAUGUAAAAGAGAAAUGUGAACAAGAAUGGAAUAAUUGGAAUUCGUGAUAUCAAGCUCUUCAUGCAUGCGAUAGCUUCUAAACGUCUUUUUAAGAUAUACUUUCUGUACAAAAAAUUAUAUUUAAAUAAAAAUAGUACUAUUUUUAAUUA